AAGACCUUGCGCUUUUGGAGCGGCCGAUGCCUGAUUAGCUUGUUGGUAAGGUAAAAGCUUACCAAGGCUUCGAUCAGUAGMUGGUCUGAGAGGACGACCAGCCACACUGGGACUGAGACACGGCCCAGACUCCUACGGGAGGCAGCAGUGGGGAAUUUUGGACAAUGGGGGCAACCCUGAUCCAGCCAUGCCGCGUGAGUGAAGAAGGCCUUCGGGUUGUAAAGCUCUUUCAGCCGGAACGAAACGGUUACGGUUAAUACCCGUGAUUACUGACGGUACCGGAAGAAGAAGCACCGGCUAACUACGUGCCAGCAGCCGCGGUAAUACGUAGGGUGCGAGCGUUAAUCGGAAUUACUGGGCGUAAAGCGUGCGCAGGUGGUUUUGUAAGUCAGAUGUGAAAGCCCCGGGCUCAACCUGGGAACU
rnacentral:rRNA from 1 species